GUAAAUAUGUUAACAAAUUUUCUUAUUCAUUAAUCACGUUUAAUAGCAAUCGAAGAAACGAUAGCCGCGGUGUUAAUAUUUUUUAAACGGAACAUUCAUGAAACGAAUUGUGAAUGCGAUUAGUGAAUACUUGUUUGUGUGUCACAUCGUACAAUUAAUGUUUCUCUCUUUUCUCAAGAUGUAGCUAAAGAUUAGAAUCAACUGAAAAAUGAUAGUUAUGACGGACCACCUUUGACGGCUUAUGAAGAAUUUUUCUAAGAUUACCAUAAACACUUUUACCAUCCUUUAUCAUGAACAAAAAGCUUAUGUUCCAUAGCAUGAUUUAUGCUUUUCAACACAUAUACAUUGAAGACAAAGUGGGUAGACACCUGUCUGUCUGUCUAACAACACAUGUGUUUUCAUCUCAUUAUUAAUCCACGAUCAUUUGCGCUAUUCUUCGUAACGUCAGCACUUGCAGACUGCUACGAUCUUCCCAGAUGACCAGUCUAAAUUACUUCACAUCUGAUAAUUAUACAUAUAUAUAUGUAAUAGAUAGGAGGCGUAACAAGGAGGUUCCGAACAGGCAGUUGACAAAUGAAGAAGACGGCGUCCCUUUGAAUUUCACCGGCUACAGGGAACUGUAAACGCAUCCGGCACAAAUCAACCGAGUAUCAUGGCAACGGUGAAUACAUUGCCAAGCUUUCGGGUUUAUGGUGUCGAUUAAAAAAAUGUUAACGAGCCGGAUAUGGUUGACGGCAGGAAGGUUAAGAAUCACGAAUCUACCCAGAAGAGUUCGAUAGGUCGGCAGUUUGUAGGAAUCAAAUGGACGGACGAUUGACGGAAAAAGACACCGACAUAACUGAUAAUAUCUCCUUUAUAACGCUUGCAUUAUGCUACACCAAUGUAACGCCAUUUAUUAUAAUGCCAUCUUCCUUCUCGUCACCAUAAUUACACCGUAAUCAAGAUUCUCUUAAUGAGCCAGAAUUUGUCGCGUACUCGAUCAUUGCGCUUUUUGUGUCUUUAAUGAAAUGUUAACAGUUUAUUUAUAAUGUAUCCUUAAUCAGAUAGGUAGUUGAUGAAGUAUAUAAGGAUUUUGUUCAUUCAAGUAUUUUUAGUAGUUUAAUGAUGAGAAGAGGUUCUUAAAGCGAAUUAUGGUAUACUGGUGAGUGUCUACUGAUUAUACUUGAAACGAGUGUUAAAAUAUAGAAAAUUUUUGAGGU